rnacentral:lncRNA from 1 species
AGAAACGGGGCUUGGCGCCCCCCGCGUGCACGUGUGCUAGCCCAGGCAGGAGGGAGCGCCUCGGCGGAGGAGUCAAGGAAGAGGGGGAGGGAGAAACGCGCCAGAACCUCGGCCCGGGCGCCCUCGUCGGCCGCGGAGGAGCUGCAGCCUCCAACAGGAAGGUGUGGUCCCUGCCAUGCUAUCUGCUCUGCUCAGCGACUGAAGGUGCCCGCAUCCCAGCUCUGCCAGGAAGCAAAGACAGACUGGUGGCUUUCAGACAGAAAGGAGCUGGACCAGAAGGCUGGAAGAUGGAUUCGGGGCGUACUGUGCAAGACCUUUGCCAGAGCCUGAGCAAUUUCCAUCUCUACUCAGCUGGAUGGGCGUGGUGAAUAAAUUCAUUCAGUUCAUUGUUGCUCCACAGCUAACAAUAAAGCUGGGAGCUGGGUCCAAAUGGUGACUUGGCUGUCUACCAGCUGCUUGGCCAUGGGCAACCCCCACCCCCUCUGAGCCUUGGUUUCCGUAUCUGUAAAAUGUACAUGAUGCUCCCUGUUGGUUGGGUCAGCCUCCCCAGUGUUACCAAGCCACG